GACGAACGCUGGCGGCGUGCUUAACACAUGCAAGUCGAACGGAAAGGCCCUUCUUUUGUUGGGUGCUCGAGUGGCUAACGGGUUAUUAACACGUUAGUAACCUUCCCUUUACUUUUGUAUAACUUCAGUAAACUGUGGCUAAUACCUGAUCUUAGCUCCUGCUUCAUGGUGGGGUUUGGUAAGUUUCGGCGGUUGGGGAUUGACUCUCGGCUUAUCAUCUUGUUGGUGUGGUAGUGGCUUACCAAGGCUUUGACGGGUAGAAGGCCUGAGAGGGUGACCGGCAAAAUGGGGAAGGAGAUACGGCCCAGACUCCGAAGGGAGGAAGAAGUGGGGAAUAUUGCAAAAUGGGCGGAAGAAUGAUGAAGAAACGAAGCGUGCGGGAUGAAGGCCUUCGGGUUGUAAAACGAUUUAGAAUGUGAAGAAGAGUGAGUGAAGGUAAUGGGUAAAGAAGAAACGGCUAAAUAAGUG
rnacentral:rRNA from 1 species